rnacentral:rRNA from 1 species
AUGUGGCUUAAUUUGACUCAACGCGGGAAAUCUUACCGGGUCCGGACACACUGAGGAUUGACAGGCAAUAUUAGCAGUGCAACGUAUCCGUUCGCGGUUGCGCUUGCAUUGUUAUGUUAAAUAUGCUAGUCCUUUCAUGAUUAUGUGAUAGGUGGUGCAUGGCCGUUCUUAUUUCGUGGAGUGAUCUGUCUGCUUAAUUGCGUUUCACUAAGGGCCUAUAAUUUAACGUGUGUUGCGGCACUUUGACCCCUCUCUGAGCGCGCGUCUUAGCUGUUUAGCUCACACAAUUAGGUCCUGAAARCAACGAACGUGACCGCAACCUCUUGUUGCCUUUAUACCAAACAUGGCAUUGCUCUCACGAGCUGUCAUGAAAAAAGGCUUUUUAAACUAGAGGGACCGCUGUUACUUUCUUAAACCAGAGGAAGGUUGCGGCAAUAACAGGUCUGUGAUGCCCUUAGAUGUUCCGGGCUGCACACGUGCUACAAUGAUUAUUGCAGUGAGCAUCUCAUUUUUUACACACCGCAUUCACGAGUCCAUUUAUUCACUGCCUUCGGGCGUGCUUUAAAUGUGCAUCUCUGUGAGCGGUAAAGCCUGCUUCGAGAGUAAGUGGGUAAUCAAUUAGAAGUAAUGAUUUCCUUUUUUUCCAGCACACAUAUAUACGGCGUUUAUACCCGGGCUGUCCUUGUUGAUAGCUUUUGUGUGUAUAGAUGUUUUUUCCGUAUGUGCAAUUGUCAAUUCAUGGUGGGGACAGACCAUUGUUAAUUGUUGGUCUCGGUCUUAACUAGGAAUGCCUUGUACGGGUCUUUGGUUCAACAAACCACCCGGAAUACGUCCCUGCCCUUUGUACACACCGCCCGUCGCUCUUACCGAUGGACUUCUCUGUGAGUUUGAGGGACUGGGAACGCAGCGCACU